rnacentral:misc_RNA from 1 species
AAAGAUUAUAAAUGUUAAAAUGUUCCUAUAUAUUCGAUACUUUAAUUGAAACUUUCGAUUCUAGUUGAUUCUAGUGCGAUUUCUCGAAACUUUCCUUUUAAAGACAGAUACUUGAGAUUAAGAAUUAAUUUUAUUGGGUAAAAACUCUAUAAUCUUAUUCGUACAAAUCAAAUAGUUUCGACGUGAAACGUUUGACCGAUUUACUAUCUAAAUACAGAUGAUUUCAUUGAUAAUGCGAAAUAAAAUGAUGCCAAAUAAACUAUCUAAUGAUAUAUACGAAUGAAUGAAUUUAACAAUAACAAUUGAUGUGUAUUAACAAAGUUUCGAUAUAAUCAUUUUUCAACUGUAUAACAUUAAUCGGAAUUUUUUUGUCGCAGUAAGUUUGAAAUUAAUGCAAACGAACAAAAAAGACAAAAAAGAAAAUAAAAAAGGAACAAUAACCACACAGUAUAUGCAAUCUCAAAUGGCUUAAUUACGUAUCAAAGACGUCAAACGUGUUACAAAUACGUGUCAUCUUUUUAUCUCGAAGAAAUCUUGCCAGUGUAAUAAAAGAAAAAAAAAAAAAAUUCGCUCCGUCGUAGUAAUGUCAAUUUAGAUCAACAUACACAGCCAUUUUGCCGAUCAGAAUGUAUAGCCAUUCGAGAGACAAGGUUUUCUUUAUUUUUAAAACCCACUUCUCUACUUCAUGAUUCUCUGAAUUUUGUCAAGUGUAUAUUAUCGUCUAAAAGAAAAAGAAAAAAAAGAAAGGAAAAAUUUGAAGGUGUACUUCGAUGCGCGUAUAGAUUGUUUAAUAGCAACAGUGUUUAACCACGACGAAAUUCUCUCUCGAGACUGUUGCAUCUAACGUCUAACCUGACUUUUAUUUUAAAAGCACGUUUCGAAUCUAAGCCUUUUUUAAUUGUGAAUGUAAACACAAGGAGAGAUAUAGAUCGAUUUUUAAUUCGUAAUUUAUAUUUACGCUUUUCGAUAAUCUUAUCACGAUUAGUGGGAAAAGUUGUUGCAGCAGUGGUAAAUUUUCUACUUUUAUAGUUUUCGUAAGUUUAUUGAUUAAAACGUUAUGCGAUUUCAUCAAAGAACUUUUUUUACUUUUUUCUUUUAAAGAAUAAUAUGUGCUCUUUGUUUUAUUUAUGAUCGUGAUUAAAUUGUGAUUUAAGAAUAAAAAAUAAAGAUAAGUCAACAACUCAACACAAAAUAGAUAGUGCGUGUAUAUAUAUANAAUAGUGUUUUAUUAAUAAAAGGAAUAACAAGAAAAAAGAUUUAUUGAAACGUAGAUAUUAUAAAUAUAGUAUUUUAAAGUUUAGUGAUCAACUGCGAUUUUAAUAGUAAAAAAAAAAUAGUACUCCAAUCGUUUUAAUGACAAAUAUAUUGUAUGAGAUAAAAGUAACAAGAACAAUAAGAAGCAUCUAAUAAAAAUGAUUUUGUCGCUUGAAAAGACAUUGGAAUGACUAUGAUUAAAAGGAUAUAAGAUCAAUGAUUGAUCUUUAAAACUUGUAUAAAUAUAUAUAAAAGAUUAAUUAUUAAAGAAAGUUUGCAAUGGAUGAAAGGAGAGUAGCAGAUUAUUUUGUUGUCGCUGGUCUACCAGGGCAUAACGAUGACAUUAUAGGAGAGAACGAAGUUAAUGAUGAAUUAGAAGAUUGGUGUCAAGAAGGAACGCAUUUGAAAGAUAUACAUAUGCAACCACCUAUCACAGAUCUUGCUGUCAUUUUUCCAGCUUUAGGUGAACAGUGUCCUGAAGGUUAUACAUUGUUAGAAUAUACCGUGUCCGGUAUCCCAGCUGAUUUAAAUCAUGGCAGCUUACGAACAAAUGAAUGUUAUCUAUGCUAUAGGAGAGGUCGAGAUAAACCACCUUUAGUUGAUAUUGGUGUAAUAUAUGAAGGGAAAGAGCGUAUAAUGCAGGAUGCACAAAUAGUACUAGAAACUCCCAAAGGACACAUAGCGAAUGUUAACAAUUCAACUUCAAAAAUAUUUGUAACAUAUAGACGAGCAAGUCAAAAAAUGCCUUGUAAUUCUCUUGUUGUUACUGAUAUAUGUGUUAUUUUGAAAAACAAAGGGGAAACUCCUCCACAUGCGUUCUGUGUUAUUAAUAAGAAUUUAAAUAAGGGAAUGUUGGGCAGUGACGUAUUCUUAUGCUACAAGAAAUCCAUGAAUCGUGCUAAUCUUAUAUCGUUCAAACCAGCAAUACUUUAUAAGUAUCCGACAACUGAUUAUAACAGCUUCGUUUUUCCAAAUUCAGUUGCCAUGUUUUGCUUACCUAUGGGAGCAACUAUAGAAUGUUGGCCAAAAAUGGCUUGUAAACCUAAGUCAUUAUUUUCAACAUUUGUCUUAACUGUCUCGGAUGCUGCACAAAAAAUAUAUGGCUCGGCUAUAACGUUUUAUGAAGAGUUUACAUUGCCACCAGAUGCUUUAAGCUGUAAAGGAAAUUUGGAUAUGGAAGAUAUAGAGGAAAAUACAAAAAAUAAUGCUGAUAGUAUUGAAUUAACGGAGGAGUUUCAUCAAUCAAAAGCAAAAAUGUUCAGAAAAUACGGAAUACUUAAGAAGCUUAAUAUAUCCCAAUGGGCAAAAUUACAAUUUACAGAUCCUAGCAGUCAGUCAUUAAAUAUCAGCAAAUCAAUAUGUAUAUUAUCACAUUGGCCAUUUUUUGAUACAUUUGAAAAAUUUCUAGUCUUUCUGCAUAGCAUGGUCAAUGGAAAACCUCAAAAUGUUUCUAUAGAAAAGUAUAUUUCUUAUUUUUUGUGUGAUAUACCUUUUCCAAGUCCUCAAAGAUCAAGAAUUCUUGUGCAACUUAGCAGUAAAGAUAGACUAAUCUUGACUCAACCAGAAGAUUUAGUUUUGCCUAGAUCUGGUGCCAGUUUUAGGCAAUUAUUAAUCAAUUUGGGUCCUGAUAAUUGCUUAUUGAUAUUGCUCCUAAUCUUAACAGAGCAAAAAAUAUUGGUUCAUUCAUUACGGCCUGAUGUGCUAACUUCAGUGAGUGAAGCUAUUGCAAUGAUUUUGUUUCCAUUCAAAUGGCAAUGCCCGUAUAUACCACUCUGUCCAUUAGGUUUAGCCGAGGUCUUGCAUGCACCGCUACCAUUUUUAAUUGGCGUUGACUCAAGGUUUUUCGAUUUAUAUGAUCCACCAUCUGAUGUUAAUUGUGUCAAUCUUGAUACAAAUAAUAUAGCAAUUUGCGAUGACAAGAAAUAUUUGAAUGUAAAAUUACUCCCUAAGAAGGCAGCUAGACAGCUUAGAAAUUGUUUAGAACAUCUCUAUUCAAAAUUAACCUCUCUUGGAAAGAUAUAUUCUUCUCAAAAAGACCAAGAACAUGGUGAUUUUAGUGUAGAUAAAGAAUUCCAACAAAAACAAAAAGAACAAGCAUUGGAACUUGAAAUACAAGACGCUUUUUUAAAAUUCACUGCUACUAUUUUAAAAGGCUAUCGAUCUUUCUUAUUACCAAUUACGAAGGCUCCUACUGUAGGAUCAACAGAUCCAACAAGUUUAUUUAAUAUGCAAGAAUUUUUAAGAAGUCGUGACAAGGCUCAUGCAAAAUUUUAUAGUAUGCUUGUUAGAACUCAAAUGUUCAUAAGAUUCAUCGAAGAAAGAAGUUUUGUAUCUGAUAUGGAUAUGGCUGGCCUAGCUUUUUUUGAUGAAUGUACUGAACGUGUGGAGGAAGAGAAUGUUACACUCUUGGAAUUGGAUGAAUCUCAACAUAGCGAACGUACAGUAUUUAUACCUCCUCCUGAUGCAGGACCAAAUCAUGGACUUUUUAUAUAUAAAACGUUUAAAUUAAAUUCUGAAUUAAUGAGGCCUGAAAAAAACUUUAAUUUAAGAAAUCCAGCUUUAAAUGCUUUUGGAAUUGUACCUGGAAGUCCUAUGGCACGUAGGACUAAGCAUGAAAUAAAAGUAGCUCAGAAAAUGGCGCGGAAACAGGCAGCAAUGCCAGAUAGAUGGGCUAGAUGUUUACUUGGGACAUGCUACAGUCUUUGGUUUCUACAUUUACCAGCAAUGUUACAGGCUUCCAGUCAACCAGCUGCAAUUUUGCAUCAAGCAUAUGAAUUAUUAGUUCGCAUGCAAAAAUUACAUCUUGAUCCUAUGGAAGAGGUUUGUUACAGAGCUAUGAUGCAACUUUGUGGAGUAUAUGGACAACCAGUAUUAGCUGUUAAGUUAUUAUUUCACAUGAAACGUAGCGGUGUACAGCCAAAUGCCCUAACAUAUGGAUUUUAUAACAAAGCUGUCCUAGAAGCAACAUGGCCUUCUGAUAUGACAAAUUCAAGUCAGUUAAUGUGGAAUAAAUUACGAAAUGUUAUUGUUGGGGCAGCUUUGUUUAAAAAGGCUGGUAGGAAAGGUGCCAGAAGAAGACAUAAUUCCAAUGCUGAUUUUUUAAAUACUGAUGGAAUAACUGAGGAAAUGGAACAUGCUCUUUCCAGAUCUAGCCUUGAUAGUAGUCAUUCUCAAGAUACAGAAGCAGCUCAUAGUGACUCAACAAAAGGUAGUUCUGUGCCUGAUUUACCAGGAUUUGGAUCAUAUGAAUUGAAAACUAAGCUUCUUAGACAAAACAGUAUCGUAAAAGAUCAAGCGUUGCCGAAUAUGGUGCAAUCAGAGAAAUUAAAUCGUUCUUUUAGUAAUCCAAGAAUAGUACGCAGUACCGAAUCGCCAUUGAAGAGUCCUGUACGAACACCUGUUACUGAAAAUGAUCCAUUGGGGGCUCUAAUUAAUGAUGAAACGCCAGUUGUAUCGCCUUCUGAGGAAAAUGACUCCAAUUGCUCAACCAGUACUUUAACAGUUUUGAAUAAUACUGUUGAAGAAAGACCAGGUGGACCACUUUUAUUUAGAAGUAAUAAUUUACCACGGAGUGCAACAUUUCAUCAAGCAGUAGAUGAAAGUAGUACAACAGUAAGUGGUAAUUUACAAAGGAGCGAAACGAUGCCUCAUUCAGUAGCACCACCAGGUGAGGAGAGAGAAAAAGAGAGACUGGAAAUAAGCAGUCUUUGGUCGCAAAAGGACAGUGUGACAUCUAGUUUAUCUAGCCUAGGAUCCAGUUUAAAACUUAGUUUUGGACGAUACUCAGCCAGUGGAUUAGCAUUUACUAAAAAUAAGGAAUUAAUAUCAUCAAAUCAACUCAUCGAAUCUCUUAGUCUAUCCAGUUAUAUCAGUCCAUCAGGCUUGACUGGAAAAAGAUCCAAUGAAAUAAUAUUGGGUGGCUUGAACAGUUUGAAAUCAGCUGCAACGAGCGUUGCUAAAAAGUUCGACGAAAUAAAAGAAGCUAUAUCUGCAACCAGUACUCCUGUUAAACUUAAAGAACGCGAUCAAAAAUUAGGAUGUGGAAUAUCACAUGAAUCAUUAGAUUCUUGUACUGAUGGAUCCUUACAAGAUCGAAAUGAAGUAUCCGCGAGAUUAUCUGGUGAUGGAACUUUAGAUGUAUAUCUGUAUGAACUUGGGGAAUGUCUAUAUCCUAAAGGUUCUAGAGACUUAGAAGAACGUGCUGCUAUUGAAUUUGUUCUUUCAAGUGCUAGCAGAUGCCAUCAUUGUGCUGCAAUACUUUAUGACGAAGAAAUUAUGGCAGGAUGGCAACCAGAAGAUUCUAACUUAAAUACAGUUUGUCAGUAUUGUGACAAGGCUACCGUCCCCCUUCUUACAGUUACUAUAUUAGAUUACAGAUGUAAAACGAAUGAAAAAAGCAGUGAUCCUUUGAUGGGAGCUUUAGUUGAACUUUCGGAUAAACCAAGGGAGCAAUUGGAACCAAUUACGAUACCAUAUCUAAAUCCAUUGGUUUUAAGAAAAGAAUUAGAGAGUGUAUUAAGUCAGGAAGGUGAUGUAUGUUUAACCAGACAUAUAUUCAUAGAAGAACAUCCAAUAGUGUAUUGGAAUCUAAUAUGGUAUUUUGAAAGAAUUAAUUUAACAAGCCAUCUCUCUGAUCUUUGGUUGCAUAAUGAUGCAAACAAACAAUUACAAAGCAACUCUAAUUGUGUGAGUAUAAGAACAAUGUGGGAUAACGAGAGAAUUCAUAUGGGUCGAUUACCGAUGUAUCUACAGUGGAAACUGAAUACUACAGAAGAUCGAACGAGAGGCUGUAUCUGCUUGGUUUAUGCAUUCAACACCUGCAGACGUCCAUGUAUCCAAACUGGGAUUCUAUACUAACUCUUUGGCAUCAAUUUAUUUGAAGGAAUAUAAAAUUAUGCUAGAAUAUUUUUCUUAUGUUCGCAAAAUUGAAAUUUUCUGUCUAAUAAGUCGUAACUCGUAGUUUAAGAUUAAUGCAAACGAUAAUAUCAUACGUACGUUGCAAUGACUUGACAGAACCUAUUA